rnacentral:rRNA from 1 species
AUUGAACGCUGGCGGAAUGCUUUACACAUGCAAGUCGAACGGCAGCACGGACUUCGGUCUGGUGGCGAGUGGCGAACGGGUGAGUAAUGUAUCGGAACGUGCCCAGUCGUGGGGGAUAACGUAGUGAAAAUUACGCUAAUACCGCAUACGAUCUAUGGAUGAAAGCGGGGGAUCGCAAGACCUCGCGCGAUUGGAGCGGCCGAUAUCAGAUUAGGUAGUUGGUGGGGUAAAGGCCCACCAAGCCAACGAUCUGUAGCUGGUCUGAGAGGACGACCAGCCACACUGGAACUGAGACACGGCCCAGACUCCUACGGGAAGCAGCAGUGGGGAAUUUUGGACAAUAGGCGAAAGCCUGAUCCAGCCAUUCCGCGCGCAGGAUGAAGGCCCUCGGGUUGUAAACUGCUUUUGUACAGAACGAAAAGGUUUCUACUAAUACUAGGAGCUCAUGACGGUACUGUAAGAAUAAGCACCGGCUAACUACGUGCCAGCCGCCGCAGUAA